rnacentral:rRNA from 1 species
UACGGAAGGCAGCAGUGGGGAAUAUUGCACAAUGGGCGCAAGCCUGAUGCAGCCAUGCCGCGUGUAUGAAGAAGGCCUUCGGGUUGUAAAGUACUUUCAGUCGUGAGGAAGGUGUUAAGGUUAAUAACCUUAGCAAUUGACGUUAGCGACAGAAGAAGCACCGGCUAACUCCGUGCCAGCAGCCGCGGUAAUACGGAGGGUGCGAGCGUUAAUCGGAAUUACUGGGCGUAAAGGGCACGCAGGCGGUUAAUUAAGUUGGAUGUGAAAUCCCCGGGCUUAACCUGGGAAUGGCAUUCAAGCUGGUUAGCUAGAGUCUUGUAGAGGGGGUAGAAUUCCAUGUGUAGCGGUGAAAUGCGUAGAGAUGUGGAGGAAUACCGGUGGCGAAGGCGGCCCCUGGACAAAGACUGACGCUCAUGUGCGAAAGCGUGGGGAGCGAAAC